rnacentral:rRNA from 1 species
AGAGUUCGAUCCUGGCUCAGGAUAAACGCUGGCGGCGUGCUUAACACAUGCAAGUCGAACGAAGUUUUUCUUUCGGGAGGAACUUAGUGGCGGACGGGUGAGUAACGCGUGGGUAACCUGCCCUGUACAGGGGGACAACAGCUGGAAACGGCUGCUAAUACCGCAUAAGCCCUUAGCACUGCAUGGUGCAUAGGGAAAAGGAGCAAUCCGGUACAGGAUGGACCCGCGUCUGAUUAGCCAGUUGGCAGGGUAACGGCCUACCAAAGCGACGAUCAGUAGCCGAUCUGAGAGGAUGUACGGCCACAUUGGGACUGAGACACGGCCCAGACUCCUACGGGAGGCAGCAGUGGGGAAUAUUGCACAAUGGAGGAAACUCUGAUGCAGCGACGCCGCGUGAGUGAAGAAGUAUUUCGGUAUGUAAAGCUCUAUCAGCAGGGAAGAAAAUGACGGUACCUGACUAAGAAGCACCGGCUAAAUACGUGCCAGCAGCCGCGGUAAUACGUAUGGUGCAAGCGUUAUCCGGAUUUACUGGGUGUAAAGGGAGCGUAGGUGGCAAGGCAAGCCAGAAGUGAAAACCCGGGGCUCAACCGCGGGAUUGCUUUUGGAACUGUCAUGCUAGAGUGCAGGAGGGGUGAGCGGAAUUCCUAGUGUAGCGGUGAAAUGCGUAGAUAUUAGGAGGAACACCGGAGGCGAAGGCGGCUCACUGGACUGUAACUGACACUGAGGCUCGAAAGCGUGGGGAGCAAACAGGAUUAGAUACCCUGGUAGUCCACGCGGUAAACGAUGAAUACUAGAUGUUGGGUGUCACAGACAUUCGGUGCCGCAGCAAACGCAAUAAGUAUUCCACCUGGGGAGUACGUUCGCAAGAAUGAAACUCAAAGGAAUUGACG